UCUAGAGGCUUCGGCAAUGGGGGCAACCCUGACCGAGCGACGCCGCGUGUGGGAUUGAAGGCCUUCGGGUCGUAAACCACUGUCAUUGGGAAAGAAUACCCUGGUGGCGAACCAGGGGGAGACGGUACCCAAGAAGGAAGCCCCGGCUAACUCCGUGCCAGCAGCCGCGGUAAUACGGAGGGGGCGAGCGUUGUUCGGAUUUACUGGGCGUAAAGGGUGUGUAGGCGGCCGCGCAAGUCUGGUGUGAAAUCUUCACCGCUUAACGGGAAGAGGUCACUGGAAACUGCGUGGCUCGAGUGUGGUAGAGGCAAGCGGAAUUCCUGGUGUAGCGGUGGAAUGUGUAGAUAUCAGGAAGAACACCGGUGGCGAAGGCGGCUUGCUGGGCCACUACUGACGCUGAGACACGAAAGCGUGGGGAGCAAACG
rnacentral:rRNA from 1 species